ACUGGGGACUUUCGGAGAUCAAACACAGCGGUCUGCAACUGCGAUGUGAAAGAGUGUGGAACAGAGAGAGAGGAAGGGAAAUAACUAGGAAAGCAUACAGGUAUUUCGACUAAAUGGAUCGACUUAAGCAAUUAAAAAAUUAUUCAAUUAAAUUGUUGAUUCUUUGAUGGCCAAGUUUGUUGAUUUCAAAUGAAUUCCUGGGAAACCUAGAACCGAACACGUGGUUGGUAACUAUAUACGAUAACGUGUCCUUCACCCAGUUACAUCACCCACGGUAGAAUUGCUCUAAUUAUGCAAAGGCGCAGCGAUUAAUCUGCAAGGUAAACGGCGACGAAUUCUUCGUCACCGUGUUCCGCGUGACAGCGAAACUUGUGAUUGUAAAAUUUUUUGGUGACUUGUAUUUAAGUAUAUACGUCGGGGACAAAGACAGGAUUCUCGAAAGAACAAGAACGUAUUAAAAAUAUAACAUUUAUUGGACAAGAUCUGACCUUACAAACGAAACAUUAUUAUACGGUUGUUAUUUAAAUCGUGUAAGUAAAUAAUGCUUUGUUGCAAUAAAUUAGGAAACUUACUAUCUUCUCUAUUAACUACUAUCACAAAGGCUUGUGGAUUCGAUUUCGGAACGACAGAGAAAGUGAUUGAAAUCCAAAACAGACGGAUAUAGUCUCGUUGAUCUGGAAAAUGUUAGACUGCUUUCAGACCUGCAAAAAAUCGAUAUACAAAAUCGCACCGUCUACUGUUCAUUGCAUCCGAAAUUUUUGUACCACAGCAACACUCUGCGACUAAUACGAUACUAGGAAAUUCUUCGAAUCGUGCGUUGCUUUCUUCUAUCGAAUUCAAGAAAAAACGUGAAUCUCGUGAUACCGCAUCAUUAUCUUGUAAUUAACUUAACACGUCCACCGUCACCUGAGCUAUAAUUUAAUUAAAUAAUUAAACAAGUGAAGAAAGAAAGAGAAGAUUUAAAAAUUUACUAAAAUUAGUUUAAGGAUUUGUGACGAGAAAGUGUUAAGAAUAUCAUUAGCUAAGGACAAUUACUAUAGCGCACUAUAAUUCAAUCAGUCAACGU